AAACAGGAUUAGAUACCCUGGUAGUCCACGCUGUAAACGAUGGAUACUAGGUGUGGGGGGACUGACCCCUUCCGUGCCGCAGUUAACACAAUAAGUAUUCCACCUGGGGAGUACGACCGCAAGGUUGAAACUCAAAGGAAUUGACGGGGGCCCGCACAAGCAGUGGAUUAUGUGGUUUAAUUCGACGCAACGCGAAGAACCUUACCGGGAUUUGACAUCCUACUAACGAAGUAGAGAUACAUUAGGUGCCCUUCGGGGAAAGUAGAGACAGGUGGUGCAUGGUUGUCGUCAGCUCGUGUCGUGAGAUGUUGGGUUAAGUCCCGCAACGAGCGCAACCCCUAUUGUUAGUUGCUACGCAAGAGCACUCUAGCGAGACUGCCGUUGACAAAACGGAGGAAGGCGGGGACGACGUCAAAUCAUCAUGCCCCUUAUGUCCCGGGCUACACACGUAAUACAAUGGCGGUCAACAGAGGGAAGCAAAGCCGCGAGGCAGAGCAAAUCCCCAAAAGCCGUCUCAGUUCGGAUUGCAGGCUGCAACUCGCCUGCAUGAAGUUGGAAUUGCUAGUAAUCGUGGAUCAGCAUGCCACGGUGAAUACGUUCCCGGGCCUUGUACACACCGCCCGUCACACCAUGAGAGUCGGGAACACCCGAAGUCCGUAGUCUAACCGCAAGGAGGGCGCGGCCGAAGGUGGGUUCGAUAAUUGGGGUGAAGUCGUAACAAGGUAGCCGUAUCGGAAGGUGCGGCUG
rnacentral:rRNA from 1 species